GCCUACGGCCAUACCACCCUGAGAACGCCCGAUCUUGUCUGAUCUCGGAAGUUAAGUAGGGUCGGGCCUGGUUAGUACUUGGAUGGGAGACCGCCUGGGAAUACCAGGUGCUGUAAGCU
rnacentral:rRNA from 1 species